AUGAUGCCCAGCUUGCUGGGCGGAUUAGUGGCGAACGGGUGAGUAAUACGUGAGUAACCUGCCCUUGACUCUGGGAUAAGCCUGGGAAACUGGGUCUAAUACUGGAUACUACCUCUUACCGCAUGGUGGGUGGUGGAAAGGGUUUUACUGGUUUUGGAUGGGCUCACGGCCUAUCAGCUUGUUGGUGGGGUAAUGGCUCACCAAGGCGACGACGGGUAGCCGGCCUGAGAGGGUGACCGGCCACACUGGGACUGAGACACGGCCCAGACUCCUACGGGAGGCAGCAGUGGGGAAUAUUGCACAAUGGGCGGAAGCCUGAUGCAGCGACCCCGCGUGAGGGAUGACGGCCUUCGGGUUGUAAACCUCUUUCAGUAGGGAAGAAGCGAGAGUGACGGUACCUGCAAAAGAAGCGCCGGCUAACUACGUGCCAGCAGCCGCGGUAAUACGUAGGGCGCAAGCGUUGUCCGGAAUUAUUGGGCGUAAAGAGCUCGUAGGCGGUUUGUCGCGUCUGCUGUGAAAGCCCGGGGCUCAACCCCGGGUCUGCAGUGGGUACGGGCAGACUAGAGUGCAGUAGGGGAGACUGGAAUUCCUGGUGUAGCGGUGAAAUGCGCAGAUAUCAGGAGGAACACCGAUGGCGAAGGCAGGUCUCUGGGCUGUUACUGACGCUGAGGAGCGAAAGCAUGGGGAGCGAACAGGAUUAGAUACCCUGGUAGUCCAUGCCGUAAACGUUGGGCACUAGGUGUGGGGGACAUUCCACGUUUUCCGCGCCGUAGCUAACGCAUUAAGUGCCCCGCCUGGGGAGUACGGCCGCAAGGCUAAAACUCAAAGGAAUUGACGGGGGCCCGCACAAGCGGCGGAGCAUGCGGAUUAAUUCGAUGCAACGCGAAGAACCUUACCAAGGCUUGACAUUCACCGGACCGCCCCAGAGAUGGGGUUUCCCUUCGGGGCUGGUGGACAGGUGGUGCAUGGUUGUCGUCAGCUCGUGUCGUGAGAUGUUGGGUUAAGUCCCGCAACGAGCGCAACCCUCGUUCUAUGUUGCCAGCACGUGAUGGUGGGGACUCAUAGGAGACUGCCGGGGUCAACUCGGAGGAAGGUGGGGAUGACGUCAAAUCAUCAUGCCCCUUAUGUCUUGGGCUUCACGCAUGCUACAAUGGCCGGUACAAAGGGUUGCGAUACUGUGAGGUGGAGCUAAUCCCAAAAAGCCGGUCUCAGUUCGGAUUGAGGUCUGCAACUCGACCUCAUGAAGUCGGAGUCGCUAGUAAUCGCAGAUCAGCAACGCUGCGGUGAAUACGUUCCCGGGCCUUGUACACACCGCCCGUCAAGUCACGAAAGUUGGUAACACCCGAAGCCGGUGGCCUAACCC
rnacentral:rRNA from 1 species